CCUACGGGGGGCAGCAGUGAGGAAUAUUGGUCAAUGGACGCAAGUCUGAACCAGCCAUGCCGCGUGCAGGAUGACGGCUCUAUGAGUUGUAAACUGUUUUUGUACGAGGGUAAACCCCGAUGUGUGUAUCGGGUUAAAAGUAUCGUACGAAUAAGGAUCGGCUAACUCCGUGCCAGCAGCCGCGGUAAUACGGAGGAUCCGUGCGUUAUCCGGAUUUAUUGGGUUUAAAGGGUGCGUAGGCGGUUUGAUAAGUAAGAGGUGAAAUGUCGGGGCUCAACCCCGAAACUGCAUCUGAUACUGUGGGACUAGAGUAUAGGAGCGGUAGGCGGAAUGUAUGGUGUAGCGGUGAAAUGCUUAGAGAUCAUACAGAACACCGAUUGCGAAGGCAGAUUACCAAACUAUAUCUGACGUUGAGGCACGAAAGCGUGGGUAGCAAACAGGAUUAGAUACCCGGGUAGUC
rnacentral:rRNA from 1 species